rnacentral:rRNA from 1 species
GACGAACGCUGGCGGCGUGCUUAACACAUGCAAGUCGAGCGGAAAGGCCACUUCGGUGGUACUCGAGCGGCGAACGGGUGAGUAACACGUGAGUAAUCUGCCCCUGGCUUUGGGAUAGCCACCGGAAACGGUGAUUAAUACCGGAUACGACCACUUCUCGCAUGGGAUGGUGGUGGAAAGUUUUUUCGGCCAGGGAUGUGCUCGCGGCCUAUCAGCUUGAUGGUGAGGUAAUGGCUCACCAUGGCUUCGACGGGUAGCCGGCCUGAGAGGGGGACCGGUCACACUGGGACUGAGACACGGCCCAGACUCCUACGGGAGGCAGCAGUGGGGAAUAUUGGACAAUGGGCGGAAGCCUGAUCCAGCAACGCCGCGUGAGGGAUGACGGCCUUCGGGUUGUAAACCUCUUUCAGCAGGGACGAAGCGCAAGUGACGGUACCUGCAGAAGAAGCACCGGCCAACUACGUGCCAGCCGCCGUAAAAC